rnacentral:rRNA from 1 species
GACGAACGCAGGCGGCGUGCUUAACACAUGCAAGUCGAACGGAAAGGCCCUGCUUUUGUGGGGUGCUCGAGUGGCGAACGGGUGAGUAACACGUGAGUAACCUGCCCUUGACUUUGGGAUAACUUCAGGAAACUGGGGCUGAUACCGGAUAGGAGCUCCUGCUGCAUGGUGGGGGUUGGAAAGUUUCGGCGGUUGGGGAUGGACUCGCGGCUUAUCAGCUUGUUGGUGGGGUAGUGGCUUACCAAGGCUUUGACGGGUAGCCGGCCUGAGAGGGUGACCGGCCACAUUGGGACUGAGAUACGGCCCAGACUCCUACGGGAGGCAGCAGUGGGGAAUAUUGCACAAUGGGCGGAAGCCUGAUGCAGCAACGCCGCGUGCGGGAUGACGGCCUUCGGGUUGUAAACCGCUUUCGCCUGUGACGAAGCGUGGGUGACGGUAAUGGGUAAAGAAGCACCGGCUAACUACGUG